CCUACGGGUGGCAGCAGUGGGGAAUAUUGCACAAUGGGGGAAACCCUGAUGCAGCGACGCCGCGUGAGUGAAGAAGUAUUUCGGUAUGUAAAGCUCUGUCAGCAGGGAAGCAAAUGACGGUACCUGACCAAGAAGCACCGGCUAACUACGUGCCAGCAGCCGCGGUACUACGUCGGGGGCAAGCGUUAUCCGGAUUUACGGGGUGGAAAGGGAGCGUAGGCGGCAGGGCAAGUCUGGAGUGAAAGGCGGGGGCGCAACCCCCGGAAUGCUCUGGAAACUGGCAGGCUGGAGUGCAGGAGAGGUAAGUGGAAUUCCUGGUGUAGCGGUGAAAUGCGUAGAUAUUAGGAGGAACACCAGUGGCGAAGGCGGCUUACUGGACUGUAACUGACGUUGAGGCUCGAAAGCGUGGGGAGCAAACAGGAUUAGAUACCCUUGUAGUC
rnacentral:rRNA from 1 species